GACGAACGCUGGCGGCGUGCUUAACACAUGCAAGUCGAACGGAAAGGCCCUGCUUUUGUGGGGUGCUCGAGUGGCGAACGGGUGAGUAACACGUGAGUAACCUGCCCUUGACUUUGGGAUAACUUCAGGAAACUGGGGCUAAUACCGGAUAGGAGCUCCUGCUGCAUGGUGGGGGUUGGAAAGUUUCGGCGGUUGGGGAUGUACUCGCGGCUUAUCAGCUUGUUGGUGGGGUAGUGGCUUACCAAGGCUUUGACGGGUAGCCGGCCUGAGAGGGUGACCGGCCACAGUGGGACUGAGAUACGGCCCAGACGCCUACGGGAGGCAACAGUGGGGAAUAGUGCACAAUGGGCGGAAGCCUGAUGCAGCAACGCCGCGUGCGGGAUGACGGCCUUCGGGUUGUAAACCGCUUUCGCCUGUGACGAAGCGUGAGUGACGGUAAUGGGUAAAGAAGCACCGGCUAACUACGU
rnacentral:rRNA from 1 species